GAGCGUGCGUGCACCGUGAUGACGUCAGAGGACCGGGAGCGCGCAGGGCCGCCCCUACUGGUGCUCCGGUGUGGCCGCUGUACGGCAAGCAAUCGCUGAUCAAUAUAGCUCUAGAAGAGGGGGGUGCGACUGCUGUGGAUUAGAUUUUCUAGAGCUGGAGUCUGAAGCUUGACUUUUGCUGGGCAAACAAUGCAGAUCGGUCUUGAGAAACAUCAUCUCUGGAUUUACUAUUAAACAUAUCAAUACUGGGAGGAGGUCCUGGAGGUGGAGGAGGUGGUGGAGGAUGACUUGGUGCGGAUGUGGAAUCCUUU